rnacentral:rRNA from 1 species
UACGUAGGUGACCAGCGUUGUCCGGAUUUACUGGGCGUAAAGAGCGCGCAGGCGGUCGGUCAAGUCGAGUGUGAAAGCCCCCGGCUCAACUGGGGAGGGUCAUUCGAUACUGAUCGACUUGAAGGCAGGAGAGGGAAGUGGAAUUCCCGGUGUAGUGGUGAAAUGCGUAGAUAUCGGGAGGAACACCAGUGGCGAAGGCGACUUCCUGGCCUGUUCUUGACGCUGAGGCGCGAAGGCUAGGGGAGCAAACGGG